rnacentral:rRNA from 1 species
GGGUUGUGAGGUUAAGCGACUAAGCGUACACGGUGGAUGCCCUGGCAGUCAGAGGCGAUGAAGGGCGUGCUAAUCUGCGAUAAGCGCCGGUAAGGUGAUAUGAACCGUUAUAACCGGCGAUACCCGAAUGGGGAAACCCAGUGUGAUUCGUCACACUAUCAUUAACUGAAUCCAUAGGUUAAUGAGGCGAACCGGGGGAACUGAAACAUCUAAGUACCCCGAGGAAAAGAAAUCAACCGAGAUUCCCCCAGUAGCGGCGAGCGAACGGGGAGGAGCCCAGAGCCUGAAUCAGCAUGUGUGUUAGUGGAAGCGUCUGGAAAGGCGCGCGAUACAGGGUGACAGCCCCGUACACAAAAGCGCAUGUGCUGUGAGCUCGAUGAGUAGGGCGGGACACGUGGUAUCCUGUCUGAAUAUGGGGGGACCAUCCUCCAAGGCUAAAUACUCCUGACUGACCGAUAGUGAACCAGUACCGUGAGGGAAAGGCGAAAAGAACCCCGGCGAGGGGAGUGAAAAAGAACCUGAAACCGUGUACGUACAAGCAGUGGGAGCACAGGUUUACCUGUGUGACUGCGUACCUUUUGUAUAAUGGGUCAGCGACUUAUAUUCUGUAGCAAGGUUAACCGAAUAGGGGAGCCGGAGGGAAACCGAGUCUUAAUUGGGCGUUAAGUUGCAGGGUAUAGACCCGAAACCCGGUGAUCUAGCCAUGGGCAGGUUGAAGGUUGGGUAACACUAACUGGAGGACCGAACCGACUAAUGUUGAAAAAUUAGCGGAUGACCUGUGGCUGGGGGUGAAAGGCCAAUCAAACCGGGAGAUAGCUGGUUCUCCCCGAAAGCUAUUUAGGUAGCGCCUCGUGAAUUCAUCUCCGGGGGUAGAGCACUGUUUCGGCUAGGGGGCCAUCCCGGCUUACCAACCCGAUGCAAACUGCGAAUACCGGAGAAUGUUAUCACGGGAGACACACGGCGGGUGCUAACGUCCGUCGUGAAGAGGGAAACAACCCAGACCGCCAGCUAAGGUCCCAAAGUCAUGGUUAAGUGGGAAACGAUGUGGGAAGGCCCAGACAGCCAGGAUGUUGGCUUAGAAGCAGCCAUCAUUUAAAGAAAGCGUAAUAGCUCACUGGUCGAGUCGGCCUGCGCGGAAGAUGUAACGGGGCUAAACCAUGCACCGAAGCUGCGGCAGCGAACGUAUCACUUAAAGCGAUUCAGCGGGUUACGAUUGACGGAGCGAAGCGACGUCAAAGCGUAUACAAAGUCGAGUCGGUUUAAGGAUACGUUCGUUGGGUAGGGGAGCGUUCUGUAAGCCUGUGAAGGUGGCCUGUGAGGGUUGCUGGAGGUAUCAGAAGUGCGAAUGCUGACAUAAGUAACGAUAAAGCGGGUGAAAAGCCCGCUCGCCGGAAGACCAAGGGUUCCUGUCCAACGUUAAUCGGGGCAGGGUGAGUCGACCCCUAAGGCGAGGCCGAAAGGCGUAGUCGAUGGGAAACGGGUUAAUAUUCCCGUACUUGGUGUUACUGCGAAGGGGGGACGGAGAAGGCUAUGUUGGCCGGGCGACGGUUGUCCCGGUUUAAGCGUGUAGGCUGGUUUUCCAGGCAAAUCCGGAAAAUCAAGGCUGAGGCGUGACGACGAGGCACUACGGUGCUGAAGCAACAAAUGCCCUGCUUCCAGGAAAAGCCUCUAAGCAUCAGGUAACAUCAAAUCGUACCCCAAACCGACACAGGUGGUCAGGUAGAGAAUACCAAGGCGCUUGAGAGAACUCGGGUGAAGGAACUAGGCAAAAUGGUGCCGUAACUUCGGGAGAAGGCACGCUGACACGUAGGUGAAGUGAUUUACUCACGGAGCUGAAGUCAGUCGAAGAUACCAGCUGGCUGCAACUGUUUAUUAAAAACACAGCACUGUGCAAACACGAAAGUGGACGUAUACGGUGUGACGCCUGCCCGGUGCCGGAAGGUUAAUUGAUGGGGUCAGCGCAAGCGAAGCUCCUGAUCGAAGCCCCGGUAAACGGCGGCCGUAACUAUAACGGUCCUAAGGUAGCGAAAUUCCUUGUCGGGUAAGUUCCGACCUGCACGAAUGGCGUAAUGAUGGCCAGGCUGUCUCCACCCGAGACUCAGUGAAAUUGAACUCGCUGUGAAGAUGCAGUGUACCCGCGGCAAGACGGAAAGACCCCGUGAACCUUUACUAUAGCUUGACACUGAACAUUGAGCCUUGAUGUGUAGGAUAGGUGGGAGGCUUUGAAGUGUGGACGCCAGUCUGCAUGGAGCCGACCUUGAAAUACCACCCUUUAAUGUUUGAUGUUCUAACGUGGACCCGUGAUCCGGGUUGCGGACAGUGUCUGGUGGGUAGUUUGACUGGGGCGGUCUCCUCCUAAAGAGUAACGGAGGAGCACGAAGGUUGGCUAAUCCUGGUCGGACAUCAGGAGGUUAGUGCAAUGGCAUAAGCCAGCUUGACUGCGAGCGUGACGGCGCGAGCAGGUGCGAAAGCAGGUCAUAGUGAUCCGGUGGUUCUGAAUGGAAGGGCCAUCGCUCAACGGAUAAAAGGUACUCCGGGGAUAACAGGCUGAUACCGCCCAAGAGUUCAUAUCGACGGCGGUGUUUGGCACCUCGAUGUCGGCUCAUCACAUCCUGGGGCUGAAGUAGGUCCCAAGGGUAUGGCUGUUCGCCAUUUAAAGUGGUACGCGAGCUGGGUUUAGAACGUCGUGAGACAGUUCGGUCCCUAUCUGCCGUGGGCGCUGGAGAACUGAGGGGGGCUGCUCCUAGUACGAGAGGACCGGAGUGGACGCAUCACUGGUGUUCGGGUUGUCAUGCCAAUGGCACUGCCCGGUAGCUAAAUGCGGAAGAGAUAAGUGCUGAAAGCAUCUAAGCACGAAACUUGCCCCGAGAUGAGUUCUCCCUGAGACUUAGAGUCUCCUGAAGGAACGUUGAAGACGACGACGUUGAUAGGCCGGGUGUGUAAGCGCAGCGAUGCGUUGAGCUAACCGGUACUAAUGAACCGUGAGGCUUAACCUUACAACGCCGAAG